UUGUCCAGGUGUUGCAUGGCUGUUCCCCCCUCGUGCCGUGAGGUGUUAGGUUAAGUCCUACAUCGAACGCAACCCCUGCACUUAGUUGCCAUCAGGUAAUGCUGGGCACUCUAAGUGGACUGCCUACGCAAGUAGUGAGGAAGGCGGGGAUGACGUCAAGUCCUCAUGGCCCUUACACCCAGGGCCACACACGUGCUACAAUGGUUGGUACAAAGGGCUGCUAAGCCGCAAGGUGGAGCCAAUCCCAAAAAACCAACCUCAGUUCGGAUUGGGGUCUGCAACUCGACCCCAUGAAGCUGGAAUUGCUAGUAAUCGCGGAUCAGCACGCCGCGGUGAAUACGUUCCCGGGCCUUGUACACACCGCCCGUCAAGCCAUGGAAACUGGGGGUACCCGCAUCCUAAUAUAUAACCGCAAGGAGACAGGCGUCUAAGUUUAACCAGCCCCCUAGAACGAUAAAAAGCGUAAUGAAGUCCUGCAG
rnacentral:rRNA from 1 species